AGCAGCCGCGGUAAUUCCAGCUCCAAUAGCGUAUAUUAAAGUUGUUGCAGUUAAAAGCUCGUAGUUGAAUUUCGGGAUCAGCGCGUCGGUCGUGCCUCCGGUAUGCACUGGCGCCGCUGGUUUCUCCCUUCUGAGGAACCGUGAUGUCAUUAAUUUGGUGUUGCGGGAAAUCAGGACUGUUACUUUGAAAAAUUGAGUGUUUAAAGCGGGCACGCGCUUGAAUACAUUAGCAUGGAAUAACGAAAUAGGACGUUCGAUCUUAUUUUGUUGGUUUCUAGGAUUGACGUAAUGAUUAAUAGGGAUAGUUGGGGGCAUUAGUAUUCAAUUGUCAGAGGUGAAAUUCUUGGAUUUGUUGAGGACUAACUACUGCGAAAGCAUUUGCCAAGGAUGUUUUCAUUAAUCAAGAACGAAA
rnacentral:rRNA from 1 species